UUUUCUUUUGAUCAUUAU
rnacentral:sRNA from 1 species